CGCGUAGGCGGUCGCUCAAGUCAGGGGUGAAAUCUUUCGGCUCAACCGGAAAAGUGCCCCUGAUACUGGGUGGCUGGAGGCAGGUAGGGGCAUGUGGAACUUCCGGUGGAGCGGUGAAAUGCGUAGAUAUCGGAAGGAACGCCGGUGGCGAAAGCGACGUGCUGGACCUGUCCUGACGCUGAUGCGCGAAAGCCAGGGGAGCAAACG
rnacentral:rRNA from 1 species